rnacentral:rRNA from 1 species
UACAGAGGUGGCAAGCGUUGUUCGGAAUUACUGGGCGUAAAGGGCUCGUAGGUGGCCAACUAAGUCGGACGUGAAAUCCCUCAGCUUAACUGGGGAACUGCGUCCGAUACUGGAUGGCUUGAGUUUGGGAGAGGGAUGCGGAAUUCCAGGUGUAGCGGUGAAAUGCGCAGAUAUCGGGAGGAACACCGGUGGCGAAGGCGGCUCUCUGGGCCGAUACUGACGCUGAGGAGCGAAAGCGUGGGGAGCGAACAGG